CCCUAUGGGGUGCAGCAGUCGCGAAAACUCCGCAAUGCACGAAAGUGUGACGGGGCUACCCCGAGUGCCGUCCGCUGAGGAUGGCUUUUCCUUGGUAUAACUAGCCGAGGGAAUAAGGAGAGGGCAAGACUGGUGUCAGCCGCCGCGGUAAUACCAGCUCUCCGAGUGGUAGGGAUGAUUAUUGGGCUUAAAGCGUCCGUAGCCGGCUUAGCAAGUUUCCUGUUAAAUUCAGCGACCUAAUCGUUGAGCCGCGGGAAAUACUACUAGGCUAGGAGGCGGGAGAGGUCGACGGUACUUCCGGGGUAGGGGUGAAAUCCUAUAAUCCCGGGAGGACCACCAGUGGCGAAGGCUGUCGACUAGAACGCGCUCGACGGUGAGGGACGAAAGCUGGGGGAGCGAACCGGAUUAGAUACCCGGGUAGUCCCAGCUGUAAACGAUGCGGGCUAGGUGUUGGGGUGGCUACGUGCCACUUCAGUGCCGCAGGGAAGCCAUUAAGCCCGCCGCCUGGGGAGUACGGCCGCAAGGCUGAAACUUAAAGGAAUUGGCGGGGGAGCACCACAAGGCGUGAAGCUUGCGGUUCAAUUGGAGUCAACGCCGGGAACCUUACCGGGGGCGACAGCAGAAUGAGAGCCAGAUUGAAGGUCUUGCUGGACAAGCUGAGAGGUAGUGCAUGGCC
rnacentral:rRNA from 1 species